rnacentral:rRNA from 10 species
AACCUGGUUGAUCCUGCCAGUAGUCAUACGCUUAUCUCAAAGAUUAAGCCAUGCACGUCUAAGUAUAGCAUUAUACAGUGAAACUGCGAAUGGCUCAUUAUAUCAGUUAUAGUUUAUUUGAUGUUAAACACUUACUUGGAUAUCUGUAGUARUUCUAGAGUCAAUACAUGCUAAAAAGCCACUAGUAAUAGUGGUUGCAUUUAUGACUUUGUAAUCCAAUUCAUUGGUGAUACUACAUAACUUCGCUAAUUGAUCAUUUUGAUCAAUAUAUCAUUCAAGUUUCUGCCCUAUCAGCUUGAUGGUAGUGUAUUGGCCUACCAUGGCGUUAACGGGUAACGGAGAAUUAGGGUUCGAUUCCGGAGAGGGAGCCUGAGAGACGGCUACCACAUCCAUGGAAGGCAGCAGGCGCGUAAAUUACCCAAUCCUGACUUAGGGAGGUAGUGAAAAUAAAUACCGAUAUGGUGGGUUUAUCCUACUAUAAUUGGAAUGAGAUAACUGUAAAUAUGUUGUUGAUAUUCAAUUGGAGGGCAAGUCUGGUGCCAGCAGCCGCGGUAAUUCCAGCUCCAAUAGCGUAUAUUAAAGUUGUUGCAGUUAAAGCGUUCGUAGUUGAUAUUGUUGUAUACAAUGCUCCUUCGGGUAGCGUUGUAUUCAUUUGUGGGAAUUUGUUUUCAAGUUCCCCUAUUACUGUGAGCAAAUUAGAGUGUUCAAAGCAGACGAUGUUUGAAUACAUUAGCAUGGAAUAAUAAUGUUGUCGUAUGACAUCCAUUGGAUUGUGUUAUAUGAUGUGGAUUAAUAGAAACAGUUGUGGGUAUUCAUAUUUCAUAGUGAGAGGUAAAAUUCUUGGAUCUAUGGAAGAUGAACUACUGCGAAAGCAUUUACCAAGGAUGUUUUCAUUAAUCAAGAACGAAAGUUAGGGGAUCGAAGAGGAUCAGAUACCCUCGUAGUCUUAACUAUAAACUAUGCCACUUAUGUGUUGUCUAACUCAUCUUUUUGAGUUUGGCAUUGCAUUAUGAGAAAUCAAAAGCUUUGGGUUCCGGGGGGAGUAUGGUCGCAAGUCUGAAACUUAAAGGAAUUGACGGAAGGGCACUACCAGGAGUGGAGCCUGCGGCUUAAUUUGACUCAACACGGGGAAACUUACCAGGUCAGGACAUGGGAAGGAUUGACAGAUUGAGAGUUCUUUCUUGAUUCCUUGGGUGGUGGUGCAUGGCCGUUCUUAGUUGGUGGAGUGAUUUGUCUGGUUAAUUCCGUUAACGAACGAGACCUUUGUGUGGGAGUUAGUAAUUAUGUCGCUUGGUAUAUAUGUAUUUAUAUACUUGACAUAUAUUACUUUACACCUCAGACAAUGGAAGAUUAUUCCAUGGAAGUUAAAGGCAAUAACAGGUCUGUGAUGCCCUUAGAUGUCCUGGGCCGCACGCGUGCUACACUGAUGAGUAGAAUGGGUUAAUACUGCAUUUAUUGCUUUCCCUUGACCGAGAGGUCUGGGUAAUCCUUUAAUACUCAUCGUGCUGGGGAUUGAUUCUUGUAAUUAUUAAUCAUGAACGAGGAAUUCCUAGUAAACGCAAGUCAUCAUCUUGCAUUGAUUACGUCCCUGCCCUUUGUACACACCGCCCGUCGCACCUACCGAUUGGAUAUUGUGACGAACCUUGCAGAGUGAGUUCUAUUCAGCAAUGGAUAGUAUUUACGAAGUCAUGUAAAUCGUAAUAUCUAGAGGAAGGUGAAGUCGUAACAAGGUUUCCGUAGGUGAACCUGCAGAAGGAUCAAGC